AGUUCGGUCCGGGCAAUCGCUCACAUUAAAAUGGUUUUGUGGGAGGAAAGUCCGAGCUUCAUAGAACAGGGUGCCGGGUAACCCCCGGGGUCUCGCAUUGCGGGAUACUGAAAGUGCCGCAGAAAAUAUACCGCCUCGAAGUUAUUCGGGGUAAGGGUGAAAAGGCGGGGUAAGAGCCCACCGUCCUGUUGGUAACAACAGGUGCAAGGUAAACCACACCCGAAGCAAGAUCAAAUAGGGAAAUCGUUUCUUACUAAUUUAAGAAUCAGGGCUGUUCGCCUUGGAGGUUUCCGGGUAGAUCGCCAGAUUCCAUCAGUAAUGGUGGGGCAAGAUAAAUGAUUGCCGCUGCGCACUUAAUCGUAUCGUAGUACAGAACUCGGCUUAUAGGACUGGACUUUUU
rnacentral:RNase_P_RNA from 1 species